AAGAUCAUACUUCACAGGAUCAUUUCUGUAGUAUAUCUUCACACAUUCUCAACUCAAAUUGAGAGUGGUUGCAACUUCGACGAUGAGGCGAAGUUUCGUUUCUUGAGCGUGAGGCAGGCUUUCAGAAUAUUUUCUUAAUGUUCUCUAUAGCCAUCGAUGAUCGUUCACCUGGCAUUAAAUCCCAGGUUACGGAAACGGAACAUUCUGAGAGGU